rnacentral:rRNA from 1 species
GAUUUCUGGUUUGGUGCGCCUGGCCCACUGCCUUCAGGUAUGUGAGUGCCGGUGCGCGCCUGCCAUCCCUUCUAGAGAACGGCUCUGCCCUUCACUGGUGUCGGAGUCGCGAUCUAGAUCUUUUACUUUGAAAAAAUUAGAGUGUUUAAAGCAGGCUUACGCUGUGAAUACAUUAGCAUGGAAUAAUAAUUUAGGACUUUGGUCUCUAUUUUGUUGGUUUCUAGAGCUGAAGUAAUGAUUGAUAGGGAUAGUUGGGGGUGCUAGUAUUCACCGGCCAGAGGUGAAAUUCUUGGAUUCGGUGAAGACUAACUUAUGCGAAAGCAUU